rnacentral:sRNA from 1 species
AGUGGGGGAUGAGGAGGAUCCGAAGACGCUUUGAUAGCUCAACAAGUCUUGUAGAGUUGGUCACCCUUGGUCGAGUAAAUGGAUCGAGUAGAGGAUCGAGUAGGAGGGGCGAGUAGAUCAAUCUGCUGCUUCAUCUGAGGCUGCCUUGAUCUAGUAAGAGGGUCGAGUGAAUUUUAGCCUCAUCUGUAGCUGCCUGGAUCGAGUAAAGAGGUCGAGUGAAAUGAUGCCUCUUCUGUAGCUGCCUGGAUCGAGUGAAUGGAUCGAGUAGAGUCCUUUUUAGCUCCUUCUGCACCUGAAAAA